AAGCCCUCGAUAGCCCCCACCUGCUCACUGCCUGUCCACCAGGAGGGAUGGAGAGAUUGUCUCGUCUAGGCCAUGAACCCUAAACCUGUGUCCUAAAACCUUGGAACAUGGACAUAGGCCUGGGAUGGCUGAAUGAAUGAGUGGCCCAGCUGCUCUCCACACUACAAGGCUGCCGUAUGUUACAAGAGCCACAGUUUUCAUUGUGGUGAUCUUCCCCGUCUAACUGACGGACCAGACCCAUUUUCAGUAGUGCUAACAGCUGAGCUGUACCUUCUACAUGGCUGUCUCCUGGUGAAAAUGGCAAUCUCUCCACGCUCACAUCCUGUUCCCAGGCAUUAUCCCAG
rnacentral:lncRNA from 1 species